UCCGGCACCUUGAAGCCACUAGAGAGCCUUAAACAGGAAAACAAGUUCUUUGGAGCACUGCCACCAAAUUGUUGCUUCCAUUGUCUCUAGUAUUGCUUACUGGCAUCCUUCUGACAACAUAACAACUGUUAUUCAUGAGAUAUUUUUAAAUCAAAUUGAUUUUUUUCAUCAUACGUGUCAGCCAGUUUUACAAAACUUUAUUCAGAAAGUGAAGUUAGUUACUUGUCUGGGAUCCUUCUACUUAUUCACUAAGGAUGCAGCCAUUUGUCCUUGACUUACUGGUUUUUUUUUUUUGGAAGUCCAAAUUCUUUUUAGUGUAUGAUUGUCCUAUGCCUCUCCAAGAUAUAUUUCCAAAUGUUCAUACCUAUGAACCAAACUUUGAAGAAAUUAGCUACUUAUGAGUUAUUACUGAUCCAUUGCAAAUAGAAGAUGAUCCAAAUAGAUGGUAGACUUAUUUAUAUAAGACCAGGUUUUUUUUUCUUUUCUUUUCUUUUUUGUUUGGAGCUGGGGACCGAACCCAGGGCCUUGAGCUUGCUAGGCAAGUGCUCUACCACUGAGCUAAAUCCCCAACCCCCAGGGUUUUUUUUAAGUCUAAGUAUAAUCUAUGUGCAGGGUAAUGUACACAUGUGCUUAAAUGAGAUAGUAAUAUUGGAUAGAUGAGGUCACAUGGCAGCUUUGGAAUUGAUGCUCGUAGAAGAACCUGCCUGGAUCCCUAAGAAGAGUCUUGAUGCCAUCCAUUUUUGCUGCUACAAUUAAUGCAGACUGAAGUAUUAGAAGAUUCAGUUCCUCUUACUUUACUCUUUGAAGUAUGAGGAAGAGAAAAGGUAGCUACACAAGGGCAGAAUUAAUGGCACUCCCAGGACUACAAUGCCUAAGCAACAUUUGUGCAACUUCAGUUUCAGACCCUAAAGUGCAGAACUAAGAACAAACUUCUCGAGUAAAUGCAAAGAAAAAAUACGCACAACUCAGCCGAAAAAUAUGAAUAUCCCUGCAAGACUAUUGUUGGCUACAGAGAUAGCUUCUGGCAAUUACUUAACUCCAUCUCUGGAGACCUAUGCCCAAUAUGCACACACUGGCGGCGCAGGUGCCGACAUCUGGAGGUUCCCCUGAGAUCGGGAAAGAGAGGACAAACUGAUGGGAUCGUUCCAAAAGGCUGGCCGGCAAGGAAGCAGAAUAUUUUGGGGACAAGCGACGACCAUGGGGCAAAACUGGAAGUGAGUAGUGCUACAAAGGUUUUGCCUUAGCCAUGGGAACAAGUUCCUCAUUAUUGGUCAUAGAUCAGCUUGUAAGUUUAUUCAAACAAGAAGGUACUGGUAUUAAGGUAAAGAUAGCCCAAGAUUUUGUUAAAACUAUAGAACAAGUCAGUCAUUGUUUUAUAGCUAGUGGCGGUUUGAAUAUUCUGGAUUGGAAACAGGUUAAAAGGGACAAGGUGAUAUUGGUAAAAUGUUUUUGUGUAUGUGUUCUUUUAGUGUUAUGCUAACAUCCAGAGAAGCAAAGUCAAUUCUCAUAGAUGCUUUUAGUCUUUGAACCCUGACUAGAGACAGUUUAUAUCCUAGACGAGAGAGAGAAUGAGGUUGAGAAAAACAGUCCUUCUGGACUCUCCACAGAUUCUUUGGCAAAAGAAGGAAAUGAGCUUUUUUGGAGCUCUCCUGGGGACAGAAGGAGGUGGGAGAUGUCUUGCCUCCUUGCUAGUUCCUAUUGGAGAAGUGCUUAUUUCUGGAUCUGGGUCCUUUAGGUAGGAUAUCUGGGUCCCUUUGGUGGGACGCCAUCUGGUUUUUUCCCUGUAUGUCUAUUGUCUGUCCUUGGUGCACCAAGCUGUCCAUAUAUGUCAAUUUAUGUCUUGGUUUUGCUUCUCAUUGCUUGAAUGUUUUGUGUUUCAUGUUUAAAAAAAUGGUUAACACUUUAAAUGCUGGUUGAUUCACCCAUUGAUGUAGUUUUAACUCCUUUCAAGAAAGGAACAAAUAAAUAAAAAGCAGUUUCAAUUGGAUUUUGGAGCCCUACAUCUGUAGCUAGGAGCCUAAGUCUGCUGGGCAAGCUCCCCAGGGGGCUGGCUAAAUGUUUACACUAGCAGAUCCUAAAGGGUUAGGAGCUUCACAGCUUCUAUGGUAAUGGAACUGAUGGCUAUUUCUCUUAGAAAAAAUCUUUGACUGUGAUUAUUGGACUCAACAGGUGACAAGGUGUUUCUCUUAAAACUACAAGUAGAAAAAGUAAAAAUGGUGAUUGAUUUAAAUAUUAAAGAUAUGUGUAGCCACUUCAUUUUUUGUUUCUGAUUGGUUUUAAAUGUAUAAUAUGCUCUACAUGUCUUGGUUACUGGCUUUUAAGUUAUUGGGUAUGUUUAAAAAUUUGUAACAUUGGUAACAUAAAUUGGCUUAAACUUCAUAAUUCAGAUGGAGUAAUUUUAAACAGCACGUGGCAUGAGACAACCCAGGGAAACAGGUCUAAAUUAGAAUAAUAUUUUAGUAUAAUUGUUAUCCUAGAAACCACACUUAGAAAGGAAUUUAGGGCCAUGUCUCUUAGUUGAGGAAUUAGAGUCUGCACCAUCGUUCGUUCACAUGCAAGAAUUGGCAGUCAAAUUUUAAAGCAUGAGGAAUGAACUUGGUGUUUUGGAGAGACUGGAUUUUGGAGAAUAGAUGGUUUGUUGGAGGUUGAGUUUUGCUUUCCAAAGUUAUGGUUGUACUCUGGUAUUAAAAGGGAAACUUAAAGAUUGUGGUUAAAGAUUGCCAGUGUAACAUUGGCUAUAGUUUACAGUUUGAUCACAGACAGGCUCAAGAUUCUAACUUACACAUAUUUGUAAUUAAGAAAAAAAUCAAACAGGUGGAGAUUGUUAACAGCAUUUACGAAAGGUUGAUGUGGCUAUGGAACUUAUAAGAGCAUUACAGCCUGUUUGCUCACUCCAACUGCUAUUUCAAGAAACACAUAUACAAUUAUUAUAAAUUUAGAAGAUUGUUUUUAUGCUCUUUCUUUACAUCCUGGUGAUUGUGAAAGAUUUUCAUUUAGUGAGCUUGUUUGUGAUUUUGGAGAGCCCAUGAAGUGAUACCAUUAGAAAGUUUUACCUCGAGGAAUCACUUUUGACCCUACAUUAUGUAAAUUUUUUGUCACUGCUUCAAUACGAGAAGCUAAGACUUUGAAUCUUUCAGUGUAUAUUAUUCAUUAUAUAGACAUUUUAAUUUUACUACAAACCUUUACUCUUACAACAUGCUUUAAAUUUUGGGGAGUAGCUGCUGCUCCAGAAAAGAUUCAAUAUUUCUUUUCAAUAUUUGAGACAUUGGUCAACUAAGAAGAGAGAAAAAAUUUUCUAAAACCUGUGCCAUGCGUGUUGGCACCCCUUUUCCUUUUUGGUUCGGAAUGGGACUAAGGCAGUGUCAAGGGAGGAGAUUCUCAAUUGUUCUUCCAGGUCCUGUCCUACCGACCAGUUGCUGGGAACAAGAAGAUUUUACAUGGAUUGUUCGAGUUCCUGGUGUAAUCCCCAUACCUCUGGAUGAAGGCUGAUUCCCACUGGUACUCUACAGGCAUAAAAGAGACUUUGGAAUUACUGCGACAGUCAUUACUACCAUCACCAUUUCAGCCACUGCUGCUGCAGUGGCCUGUGUGGCCAUUUUUCAGUCAGCAGCUGUUGUUGGGACUGUGGGACUAUGGAUACAUUCUAGAGAAGUCUCCACAGCAUUGACUGUGCAGAAUAGUGUUAAUAUUCAGAUUCAGUUGGUCAUUCUUGAUCUCAACAAACAAACUGUUCUAAAUUGGACUUCCUCUGGAAAACCCAUGUUAUAUCUUGUUCUACCUUUUAUCAUUCUAUGUGUAUAACCCCUGUUAAGGUCCUUAAUAGCAACAAGGCUGUUGGAGAUGAAUGCUUAUCUUGAUUGCUUGCUCUUAGAAGCUGCUCUUGGGCUGUUUUAAAGUACCAACAGAUCCGGUCCUAGGCUGAAAGCAAACAGGUUUGGUUUUCAUUGGCCGGGAAAAUCCAUCGGCCCAAAUUAGGCUCAGUUUGUAGGACAAGUAGUUAGCCAAAGACGGACAACCUUCUGGGACCAUACUCGCCUAAGACAAAAAUCCUGAAGCUGGCAGGAUUUUCAGAGAUGGGAAAGAGUUUUAGAAACCCAGAUUGAUCCUAAGAGAGGCACUACUUAAAAUAAAUAAAUAAAUAAAAGAGGGGGAAUUGUUGGGCCCUACCUUGGUGUUUCCCUUCCCUCUCGCUGAACCUUGUUGUUUUCCACGGCUUUUGCCUUGGGUAUAUAAGGAGAUCUCAGUAAAGCCUUGGUGGCACUUGCUGAAAACGGG